rnacentral:rRNA from 1 species
AAUGAACGUUGGCGGCGUGGAUUAGGCAUGCAAGUCGUGCGAGAACCGUAGCAAUACGGGGACAGCGGCGAAAGGGAGAGUAAUACGUGGGUACCUACCCUCGGAUUCAGGAUAGCCGUGGGAAACUACGGGUAAUACUGAAUAACGUCUUCGGACCAAAGGUGUGAUUCCGUCCGGGGAGGGGCCCGCGUCCUAUUAGCUAGUUGGCGAGGUGACGGCUCACUAAGGCGAAGAUGGGUAUGGGAUGUGAGAGCAUGAUCCCACUCAUUGGGACUGAGACACUGCCCAGACACCUACGGGUGGCUGCAGUCGAGAAUCUUCGGCAAUGGGGGAAACCCUGACCGAGCGACGCCGCGUGCGAGAUGAAGGCCUUCGGGUUGUAAAUCGCUGUCAGUGGGGAGGAAAUGCCGGUGGGUUCUCCCAUCGGUUUGACCUAUCCGCAGAGGAAGGACGGGCUAAGUUAGUGCCAGCAGCCGCAGUAAAAC